rnacentral:rRNA from 1 species
ACGGGUGAGUAAUGUCUGGGGAUCUGCCCGAUAGAGGGGGAUAACCACUGGAAACGGUGGCUAAUACCGCAUAACGUCGCAAGACCAAAGAGGGGGACCUUCGGGCCUCUCACUAUCGGAUGAACCCAGAUGGGAUUAGCUAGUAGGCGGGGUAAUGGCCCACCUAGGCGACGAUCCCUAGCUGGUCUGAGAGGAUGACCAGCCACACUGGAACUGAGACACGGUCCAGACUCCUACGGGAGGCAGCAGUGGGGAAUAUUGCACAAUGGGCGCAAGCCUGAUGCAGCCAUGCCGCGUGUAUGAAGAAGGCCUUCGGGUUGUAAAGUACUUUCAGCGGGGAGGAAGGCGACGGGGUUAAUAACCGCGUCGAUUGACGUUACCCGCAGAAGAAGCACCGGCUAACUCCGUGCCAGCAGCCGCGGUAAUACGGAGGGUGCAAGCGUUAAUCGGAAUUACUGGGCGUAAAGCGCACGCAGGCGGUCUGUUAAGUCAGAUGUGAAAUCCCCGGGCUUAACCUGGGAACUGCAUUUGAAACUGGCAGGCUUGAGUCUUGUAGAGGGGGGUAGAAUUCCAGGUGU